UACGAAGGUGGCAAGCGUUGUUCGGAUUUACUGGGCGUACAGGGAGCGUAGGCGGUUGGAUAAGCCCUCCGUGAAAUCUCCAGGCUUAACCUGGAAAGUGCAGAGGGGACUGUUCAGCUAGAGGAUGGGAGAGGAGCGCGGAAUUCCCGGUGUAGCGGUGAAAUGCGUAGAGAUCGGGAGGAAGGCCGGUGGCGAAGGCGGCCACCUGGACCGGUUCUGACGCUGAGGCGCGAAGCGUGGGGAGCAAACAGG
rnacentral:rRNA from 1 species